AGAUCAAUCCUAAUGAUAUCACUAAUCCAAGGAGGGCAGUUUGUGCACAGAUCUGACAGUGGGGCACAUAAGUGUGUCACAUGGUGAAGCAAACCCUUCAUGCAACUGUUGGAACAGUAUGAGCCAGCUACAGUUGGCUGGCCAGGCCCCCUAAGCAAGUGUGUGUGGGGGGGAUGUUAUCUGCAUGCAGAACACCUGGAUCCUGGAACAGCGAAGACACUGGUUACAGCCCUGCGAGCACAGCUGUGGCCUUGGCUGGACCAGAAACAGGAAAGAGCUGGGAGGAAGAGGAAGACUCUGACGAAGAAUGGGAAAGAUGCAUGUGAAUUCCUGACAACAGCAGCAGAGGACGAAGAUGUGUUGCCAGGGAGAAAAACGGGGAGAAGGUCAUGGAGGACUCCGUAUACAUGAGAAGGGAAGGAAACCGUUACAGGACACAAUUAAAAGCUCAAACUAUCUUCUGCCCAACGCCCUCUACGCCCACACCCAUACCCGAACUCAUCCGGGCCAAGAGUUUUUAACUUUAGCAUGCUUGGAUGAGAAAAGAGGGAAUGUUGAAAAUUCCCUUGAGAGGCCUACACGUAUUUCCCGUCGGGCCAAAAGCGUGGUUGAAGCUCAGCAGUUUCUUUUAGGCGGUCCUUAAAGAUCCGUACCGCGGCUUGGACUACGUGUGCGUGCGCGUCUGCACGUGCGUAAGGGGAAGUGUACUCCAAAGACUGAGGAAACGUGCCCUUUUCUAACUUGCCUUGUCCAUUGCACUUCAACCCCCGCACCCCACCCCGCCUCCGGCAGCCGCAGCUUUCUCUGGCGCAACUAAAAGCAACUUGACCGACGUUUCGCCUUUUGUCUCCUCGCUGCUCCGUAGAGAGUGACAGCUGGAAGGCGCCUGAUUCACGCAGGUCAGCCUGGGGUUACCAGGACCCCCUUCACAAGCAGAGCAUUUCCCUCGGUAUGAUUAGAGCCGGGGACUCCCUCCGUCUUUUCCCUCGAGGCUCUUUCCCCAACCUCGCGAUCUGGAGCACGGUAGAAGAGCACGUCCUCCGGCCGCCUCUGGCCUCUUUCUUGACAUUCGUAGCCACGUAAUCCGCUUCCUUUCUUCCGAGCUCUGGGACUAAAAGGGAUAAAUUGUGUCACGAUGAAUCCAUUCCUGACGCCAGUUUGCGUCCUGAAAAGCCACAGCGGACGCAAACUGCUCUUGCCUCUUCCCCCGCGCCGUUUCCUUCAGAUUUUCUCAAGGGACUCGCUUGCCUAGACUUUGUUGUUAGGGGUCGGCUUGCUUGCAUGUGAAAUACAAUGGAUUCUUAAGUGGCUGAUCCUGUUAUUGGGAUAUAGGUUGGGAUUUUUCCCCCCUUCCAAAAUCAGUUGAACAACAUUUUAGAAAUACCAAUUAAUGAAACGAAUGAAAUUGAUGUCAAAUAUACUGCUGACAUAUAUAUUCCCUAAAAGAAAACAAUUCAGACUUGACUCCUCAGUCAAAACAUGGACAUAUCGAUGCAUUCUUCUUGUAUGUACCAGAUUUCAGUUAUGCACCGGACACCUCGCAAAGAGUCACAUACCUAACAUUGAUCUACACCUGAGCAGCCUCCCAUGUUUCUGACAGGCAGGUGCCUUGUUCACUGGGGAAGAGAGGAACAACAGCAGCAGCAGCAGCAGCAGCAGCAGCAGCAGCAGCAGCACAACAACAACAACAACAACAACAACAGAGAACCAACAACAACAACAGAUCCAUAAUUUUUUUUCAUCUGUGGUAAAAUGCUUUGUGCAAGCUAAACAGAGAGGUUUGAUCAAAAAUUGAUAACUUCUGGUGCUCUGUAGCAAUAGCAGUUUGUCAAAAUAUCCUGAACAGAACCUCCCAAUAAGAGUAUAGAGUGCAAAAUUUGGAUCCAAACCGUUUGAUUCACUGAGCUUCAAUAUUUUAGAGAGACAAUAUUAAUGUUCUUAUUUUGCUAUGUUUUCUUUAAACAUACCAUGAGAAGAUAAGAGAAAAAAUAAUGCUAGGAAUAGUGGAAGGCAGUAGGAAAAGAGGAAGAUCUAAGAUGAGAUGCAUUGACUUAAUAAAGGAACCUUUAAUUUGCA
rnacentral:lncRNA from 1 species